GAGGGUACAGCUCAGUGGCGGAGUGCAUGCCUAGCAUGCAUGAGGUCCUGGGUUCAAUCCCCACUACCUCCA
rfam:Camelus ferus unplaced genomic scaffold scaffold340, whole genome shotgun sequence.